UACUCUGCCUUGUUAUAGGGAAAGGAGACAGGGUUUAGCAUUAGAUGGGUGUAACCAAUUAUGUAUUCUAUCCCAUUUCACCAUUUUUGAUGGACUAUCUCUUUAAGCACAGGAGGUAGAACUGUUUCUGUUGGCAGUUUCUACUUCGGCUGUUACUGCAGCCACCACUCCUGCCAACCCAGAGGGGAAAGAUCCUACCAAGAGAGAAGGGCCCACCCUGCCACAAGCUGCUUCAGGUGUUUUUCUUUCUCUAAGCAGUUUUUGCCACGGCCACAGACUGGCACCAUUACUUUUUGCACUGCCUGUUGCUUUUGGCUCACCCCACAGACCGAGCGAGCGCCUGCAGUCUGCUACUGCUGGCUGGUCUCUCACCACACACAGAAAGGGAGUCCCGAGAGAAGCUAUGAACUGUCAUCAUCUUGUAAAAGCAAGGAAUUUAUGAACUGUAUUCAAAUAUUGGCAACACAUACUGGCUCAAAGUCAUGAAAUUUGGAGAGCACAAGUAAAGCAUAUUCAAAAGGAACAGACCCUAAUAUCAGAUGCUGUAAAAGUGCAGAAUGAGACAAAUACAAAGGGAUGUAAAAUAUCUCAGACACAUUAAAGAAGAAACAAUUGAUCAACCGGAUAGGAAAACUGCAAAAUCAACACAAUAAAUGCAGUAACUUUAAAAUAA